UCAAGUCAGACAAAUGUGCUU
rnacentral:piRNA from 1 species